GUAGUCUGUCGAAGCUCAGUCAACGCUAGCAGUAGGCUAAGUCCCUUGGAACAGGGCGCCUGAGAGGGUGACAGCCCCGUAUUUGCCGGCUGCUAUUGAAAACAGCGUGUACGACGAGCUUUCAACGAGUCGAGUUGCUUGGGAUUGCAGCUCAAAGUGGGUGGUAAAUUCCAUCUAAAGCUAAAUAACGGUGGGAGACCGAUAGCGAACAAGUACCGUGAGGGAAAGACGAAAAGAACUUUGAAAAGAGAGUUAAAAAGUACCUGAAAUUGCUGAAAUGGAAGCGUAGUGAAGCAGUGUUGGGUUGCAUUCAUAUCUUCGUCCGCUUGCGGGCGAGGUGACGUGGUGUGACCGAGUUAGGGUGGGUUUGUUGCGCGGGAGAGGGCUGCCAAGCUGACUCAGCGAGGUGGAGUACCUGUCGUGCGAUGGACCUGUCAUGUAUAUUCAUACCCCUGACGAAAUGCUUCUCUACAACCCGUCUUGAAACACGGACCAAGGAGUCUAACAUGUGUGCGAGUGCUCGGGGUGUUUAUCCCCCAGCGCGUAAUGAAAGUGAAGGCGGCUCUCGGGCCGCUGAGGUGAGAUCCCGAUCGGGUGCACCACCGACCGACCAUGCUUCUUCGGGAAAAAGGUUUGA
rnacentral:rRNA from 1 species